rnacentral:ncRNA from 1 species
UGAAUCCGCGCGGGAGAGUCCUUGGUCACCGGCAUCCAUGCCGGGCGUCCAGGGCGCCGAAGGAGCAAGCCCUCCCUUGAAUCUCUCAGGCCCCUGAUACCGCGCGGACGAG